UACGAAGGGGGCUAGCGUUGCUCGGAAUGACUGGGCGUAAAGGGCGCGUAGGCGGCUCAUACAGUCAGGCGUGAAAUUCCUGGGCUCAACCUGGGGACUGCGCUUGAGACGUGUGGGCUUGAGUGGGGAAGAGGGUCGUGGAAUUCCCAGUGUAGAGGUGAAAUUCGUAGAUAUUGGGAAGAACACCGGUGGCGAAGGCGGCUAUCUGGACCGUAACUGACGCUGAGGCGCGAAAGCGUGGGGAGCAAACAGG
rnacentral:rRNA from 1 species